rfam:Clostridium sp. CAG:448 genomic scaffold, scf174
CGAAGAGUAGGGAUGCAAGCGUCAAGUGCCGACGGGACGGGGAGUUGCCGGUCGGACGAAAGGCUGUUUUUUGCACGGUGUGUGGAAAGCGGUGCUGCGGUUUGUACCCCGCAUCCCGCUUCC